UUUGUUUUCUCCCUGUUCUCAGCUUUCCAUUUUCCAGAAACACAACCACUGGCUUCUGGUCCACCCUGUGUGCUUACAAUGAAUCUGUAUGUAUGUGUGCGAUGUUGUCCCUGGUUUCCAUAUGACCCAGAAGUGCUUCCAAAAGGAGAAACUGUGGCAGAGAAAGCAUCGCUGGGUCCAGCUUAAAAGGAGCCCACCGCCUCACAUCUGGGAGUCAGAGUCUGAUGGAAGAGGACAAGGCUUACCUGGAGGAGUGCAUGGAGAGAAGGAAAAAAACAGAGAAGAAUCAUACUUGGCACUACCAGAACUGCACGUCUCCAGCUGUGAUAGUUGAUGAAAGUAGAUGUCCUCAUAAAAAAAAAAAAGCCUGAAAAAAAAGCCGCCCAGACCUUGGACCUCUGUGAUUUCCAGGCCGUAUGUCAGUUCCAAUUGUCAUAGUGCUGCAGAAAGAUUGAGGACGAGCAGUUUGGAAUACUGCUCAAUAUGUACACGCAAUAGAAGAGGGUGAUUAACAUUUGAAGUGAAAAAAUCCCUAAUUGGUGCACUGGUGAUACUACAGGGCUGAUAUUCUGUGAAAAUCCUGGAGACUGAAAGCCAUUAAUUAACCUCGGUGCCGUGAUUACUACUUACAUUAAAGAAUAAUACAUUAAAGAUGGCAGGGGCCUUUUCUUCCCACUUCAGAGAGCCUCUUGGAUCGCCCUGCCCCUGUGAGCUUCGAUAUGUUAACUGGGAAGCGACUAAUUAGAUGUCAAAAAUUCAUAAGGCCCCUCUUUAAUAUUGCAUAUCUAUCCUGGGCUGUCACUUCAAAACAAGGGAUUGUAUAAACAGAGCGACCGCAACAUAAAAACCCAGCAGGAAUGUGAGGGGAGGAAAAAAAAAGAGGAAACAAUCAAAGAAAGUUCCUUGAUGAACCCCAGAGAACAGCACCUGUGGAAAUGUAAUCUUGCAAAUUCUGAAAGCAAAAAAAAAAAAAA